rnacentral:tRNA from 1 species
UCCUCGGUAGCUCAAUUGGUAGAGCGUCCGGCUGUUAACCGGCAGGUUGUUGGUUCGAGUCCAACCCGGGGAGCCA